GUCCACGCCCUAAACGAUGCAUAUUUGGUGUGGGCAGUUCAUUCUGUCCGUGCCGGAGCUAACGCGUUAAAUAUGCCGCCUGGGGAGUACAGUCGCAAGGCUGAAACUCAAAGGAAUUGACGGGGGCCCGCACAAGCGGUGGAGCAUGUGGUUCAAUUCGACGCAACGCGAAGAACCUUACCUGGGGCUCGAACGGCUGGUCAACGGCGUUGGAAACAGCGCUACCCCGCAAGGGGGUCCAGUCGAGGUGCUGCAUGGCUGUCGU
rnacentral:rRNA from 1 species